GGAAAUAUUUUGCUAAUAAUUAAUGCCAAUCAAGAAUUACCAAUUUACAAGAGCGAAAACAGAAAUGCAGACACCAAUCUUCCGCUGAAUCCUUUUGUAAUCCAUGGAUUGCCAUAAUUCAUUUGCCAAAGCUGGUUGUUUUAAAGAAUCUCAAACUGUAUAACUCACUCUAGCUAUAUAUAAAAACAUGCUCCGCCAAGCUAACAAAUAAUUAGUCAAAGAAAUGGAAUCCAUAAACAAAUUCAAAUUACAAAUGUGUAUCUUUUCAAAAUCUAGUAUCAGCCUUCAACAAUUGCCUUCUCUUAAUUAUCAGAAACGCCACCACACAGACUUGCAAGAUCGCCGCAAUGCCCACAAACAUUAACCCAAGUCUCUUCCCCCAAUUUAACGUCUUUUCUUUUGAUGGUGGUGGUGGCGGGCUUUUAACGUCAGAUUUAUGGUGGUUUUUGUGUUGGUGGUGAUGUGGAGGAGGAGCUCUUUGGGUAGGCGGAGGAGGUGGAGGAGGAGCCGAUGGUGGAGGCGGCGGGGGAGGUGAUAAAGGGGGAGGUGGAGGGGGAGGAGGCACAGGUGAUGGUGGAGGUGGCGGCGACGGUGGAGGUGGUGGCGGAGGAGAAUAUGGUGGCGGCGGCGGUGAUUGUGAAUUGGGAGGAUUUACAUUUCCCUGAGAUUGCACCGAAAUAGCAAAGAAACAGAAGAAGACCCAAAUCGACAAUGUCCGAUCCAUACAUUACAUGGGGAAAAAUCAAAUCUUCAACAAAAUUUAAGUCCUCCCAAGCUUCCUUCCAUUUGGGCCGGACCCAAAUCCCCCAAUUAUUUUCCCCAAAUUCGAAUCUAGGGUUUGGAAAAUCGAAAGACCUUAAAACCUUUGCUCCCCAGGUAAUUUGUUUUCCCUGAUCUUGAAGAAACAGCUAAAAUGUUCCAAAAGAGUAACCUCGAAAUGUUGAUAUUGAAGAAUUAGGAAAAGGGUAGAUUGGGAAGAUUUAUUUUUUCUUCAGAGAUCCAUAAAUGGGAUAAUCAAAUGCUGCUUAUUUUUGUUGUUGAUGAGAAUUUUGUUCUUCCCAUAAAAUGGUCGUGAUCCCCCGUUUCUUUCAGAAAUGGCGAAGAUGCAGAAAUGGGGGGCCAACGAAGGAAAGAGAGAGAAGUGGGAAGCGUAGGUGGGAUUCAACGGUUGGUCUAAUUUGGGAAAUCAAUUCAC
rnacentral:lncRNA from 1 species